rnacentral:rRNA from 1 species
GACGAACGCUGGCGGCGCGCCUAACACAUGCAAGUCGAACGAGCGAGAGGAGGUUUACUUUCUCAAGCGAGUGGCGAACGGGUGAGUAACGCGUGAGGAACCUGCCUCAAAGAGGGGGACAACAGUUGGAAACGACUGCUAAUACCGCAUAAGCCCACGACCCGGCAUCGGGUAGAGGGAAAAGGAGCAAUCCGCUUUGAGAUGGCCUCGCGUCCGAUUAGCUAGUUGGUGAGGUAAUGGCCCACCAAGGCGACGAUCGGUAGCCGGACUGAGAGGUUGAACGGCCACAUUGGGACUGAGACACGGCCCAGACUCCUACGGGAGGCAGCAGUGGGGAAUAUUGCACAAUGGGGGAAACCCUGAUGCAGCGACGCCGCGUGGAGGAAGAAGGUCUUCGGAUUGUAAACUCCUGUUGUUGAGGAAGAUAAUGACGGU